CUUGGUCAUUUAGAGGAAGUAAAAGUCGUAACAAGGUUUCCGUAGGUGAACCUGCGGAAGGAUCAUUACAGAAUAAACUUGAUGGGUUGUAGCUGGUUCUCUCGGGAGCAUGUGCUCGCCUGUCACUUUUGUUUUUCCACCUGUGCACCAUUUGUAGCCUUGGAAUUAUAAAACUAUCUGAAUGCUUUUCAGUAUGAGGGUUUGCUGGGCCACACUUGGCUAAGCUUCCCUUGCUGGUUUCAAGGCUAUGUUUUCUUUUAUACACCCCUGUAGUAUGCCUCAGAAUGAUAUUCAAGGGCCCUAGUGCCUAUAAAGUUUAUACAACUUUCAGCAACGGAUCUCUUGGCUCUCGCAUCGAUGAAGAACGCAGCGAAAUGCGAUAAGUAAUGUGAAUUGCAGAAUUCAGUGAAUCAUCGAAUCUUUGAACGCACCUUGCGCCCCUUGGUAUUCCGAGGGGCAUGCCUGUUUGAGUGUCAUUAAAUUCUCAACCCCUGGAUCUUUCUCGGGGCUUGGACUUGGAGUGUGCUGGCAUCUGGUCGGCUCCUCUCAAAUGCAUCGGCGGAAUUGAACCUUUGGUGUCCGUGCAUCAGUGUGAUAAUUAAUGUUGCGCUGUCGUCGGUCAUGGAAGUCCGCUUAUAAUGGUCUUCGGACAAACCCUUCAUCAAAUUUGACCUCAAAUCAGGUAGGACUACCCGCUGAACUUAAGCAUAUCAAUAAGCGGAGGA
rnacentral:rRNA from 1 species